UACGUAGGGGGCUAGCGUUGUCCGGAAUCAUUGGGCGUAAAGAGCGUGUAGGCGGCCCGGUAAGUCCGCUGUAAAAGUCAAAGGCUCAACCUUUGAAUGUCAGUGGAUACUGCCGGGCUAGAGUCCGGAAGAGGCGAGUGGAACUCCUGGUGUAGCGGUGGAAUGCGCAGAUAUCAGGAAGAACACCAACGGCGAAGGCAGCUCGCUAGGACGGUACUGACGCUGAGACACGAAAGCCAGGGGAGCAAACGGG
rnacentral:rRNA from 1 species